AACGAACGCUGGCGGCAGGCCUAACACAUGCAAGUCGAACGCCCCGCAAGGGGAGUGGCAGACGGGUGAGUAACACGUGGGAACCUUCCCUAUACUACGGAAUAGCCCAGGGAAACUUGGAGUAAUACCGUAUACGCCCGAGAGGGGAAAGAUUUAUCGGUAUAGGAUGGGCCCGCGUAGGAUUAGCUAGUUGGUGAGGUAAUGGCUCACCAAGGCGACGAUCCUUAGCUGGUCUGAGAGGACGACCAGCCACACUGGGACUGAGACACGGCCCAGACUCCUACGGGAGGCAGCAGUGGGGAAUAUUGGACAAUGGGCGCAAGCCUGAUCCAGCCAUACCGCGUGAGUGAUGAAGGCCUUAGGGUUGUAAAGCUCUUUUGCCGGGGACGAUAAUGACGGUACCCGGAGAAUAAGUCCCGGCUAACUUCGUGCCAGCCGCCGCGGUAACAC
rnacentral:rRNA from 1 species